GUGCCAAGGGAGGGGAUUAAAGCAACAUGCUAUUUGGAGUGAUUGCUUAAUUUAUUGAGCUGCUUUUGGCGAGGGCUGCAAUGAAACAGAGCCCUUGUAACCGAUCGCCUCCUGCUGCAAUCGGACUUCUGCAACUCAGGGCUGUUUUCCAGGAGUUUUUCUGGAACAGCUUGGGAUCUUUAGCCUCUGUGGUGGGGUGCUUCUGAGCCCUCAUUUAUCCAGGCAGGCUGAUGUUAAUAAAGAAAAUAAGCAGUGUUUUAUGGACUGCCUCGUGUGCACCAGGCACUUUAUAUACAUUAUCUCUAAUCCCCACAAUUUCCCGGUGAAAUAACCCUUCAUUAUUCCCUGUGUGACCGUAGGAAGCCGGGGCACGGGAGGUGAUUUUCGAGAGCGACCUGGUCCAAGACAGUAGCUGCUAGCCACUGGCAUAAAUUAGAUAUUUAAAAAUAKAUUUAAAAAUUCACUGGCUGGGGGAUACUAGCAACCAGUUCAAGUGCCCGGUAGUCCUGUGUGGUCAGUGGCCACCACGCUGGGUUCGAUCCUCAGCACCACAUAAAAAAUAAAUAAAUAAAAUAAAGAUAUUAUGUCCAUCUACAACUAAAAAAAUUUUUUUAAAUAUAUAUAUWUUUUUUAUUAUAGGGUUCCAGGCCCGGAGAUUCUGUCCUGUGAUUUAUGGGGACAGGGACUGGCAUCGGAAGGUUUUAUAAUUCCGCAUGAGACUCCAGUGUGCAGCCAGGAAGGACACCGGCUGGAUGGGAGGAUCCGCACUCGGGAUGUUGGAAGGGGCUGCGUGGUCUCUUGGGGACCAGGARAGUUCUUCCAGAUUUCUCGUUGCUAAGCUAUAAAGUUCCAGGCUCUGCAGUGUGGCUGCUAAUUGGCCGAGAGCUCCUGGGCAGCUCCAAUCAGAACCAGGCUGCAGGAAGGAGUGUCCACCUCCCGGCCUCCCCGGGGGUUUCAGAAUGUUCUGGGUGAUGUCAUGAACCACACGAGUCUUUGUCUAACUCUGCAGAACCUGUUUUCUUGAGCCGGCUGAGGAGAGAUGCCACAGGUCCUGAAAUUCCCCAGGGAACGGGGAAUCUCCARGUCUUAACGGGUGAUCGGGACCUGUCUGUGGAUGACCGUGGGGACCUCCCACCGGGGGCAGGAGGGAUGCCUCAGU
rnacentral:lncRNA from 1 species